ensembl:snRNA U1 U1 spliceosomal RNA
ACAGUCACCUUGGGGGAUGACUACGAUCACAAAGGUGGGUUUUGAGGAGCAAGGCUCACCCGUUGCAUUCUGGGUGUGCCAACCUCUGGGAUUUCCUCAAAUGUGGGAAACUCGGUUGCAUAAUGUGUGGCAGUGGGGGACUGCCCACU